ensembl:lncRNA
AUGGACAUGACUCGGAACACGAGAACCACGAGAGAACUUGGCUCCGCAAACUUACAAGAGAGAUUACAUUUCCCCUUUGAAGUUUGUGAUGUCGUUGGGGUUUUGCUUGUUUGUUUGUUUGGCUCCUUUGGGUUAGUAGGAUAUUCCCCCCCCCCGCCAGCAAACGUGCUCAUCAUUUCAGCCACAAAUCUGGGAAAGCUUUUUCCUUCCCCCAGACCUGCCACUUUUCCUCCCGCCGUGUCCCUGGCGGGGAGGAGACACGCCAGCCCCACUCCCCGGUCACUGCGCACCCCGGCUCCCCCCGCGCUGCUCUCUCCUCGCCUGUGUGGACAAGAUCCGCCUCACCCCAACCAGGCCCGCUCCCCAAGGUCAUGAAUGCAAAUGUAGCCUGCCGGCGGUGAAUGGGCUGAAUUGUGAUUAAGAAGAAGAAGAGCUCCUUUCUUUGUUCUCCCCUCAGGGGAUGUUUACUGGGAGAGACACAGCGGAUCAGAUAUGAAAGGCAUUCAGGUCAGCAUUGAUGUGAGCGAAAGUGAAAUCAUACCUAAGGCAUUCAAAAGACCGCCGUGUCAGGGGUUCAGCUAACGGUGCAUCUACUGUGUGUGUCUUCCCUGUUAGGCAAAAAAAAAAAAAAAAGAAAAGAGAAAGAAAAAGAAAGAAAAAGGAAAAAAAAGGAAAAAAUUCCCACAACAAGGCAAUUUAAAAAAAAAAUCACAACAAAUUUAUAUUUAAAGAAAAAAGUUUCUCUCUCCCCCGCCAGGUUUACCACCCCAUCAGGACGCACAGGACUUAGGGGCCUCUUCCCUGAUGAACUAACUAGGUAAUCCUGGAAAAACUGUAGGAUUUGGGAUCAUCUUUUUAGGGGAGAAGGAUCGUGUCUGAAACGAGACAUCUUUUCCCCUGGGUGCAUCCCUAUGUACUGUCUACAUAUACUACAACGAUAUGGCCAAUACAUGUGUGCGUAUAUAUAAUUAUUUAUAUAUACAUAUAUAUUAUAUAUGGCUAAUUAAUAUAUAUCUAGCAACUGAUCGGACUCAAGAAGAUGCGAGGCUUGUAUUCAAACCUGAAAUCGUAGACAUGUGGCAUCAUUUCUCGCCUCCCUCAGAAGCAACUUAAAGGAUAAGAGACAGUGUGACAUAUAAAAACAUACAGCACACCUUACAAAGUAAUCUUUUAUUGACUUUGCAACUCCUAGGAACACUUUGCUGAUAGCUUACAGCAGGGAACGACUGUAGCCAAAGACAGAAGUUGGUACACAGCUCUUUAAGUUAAAAGGCUUCAAGGAAAGUCUAGUCAGCAUCAUAAUUUUUUUCAUUAAAAAUGCUUGAUGAAGAAAUAUUUGGAUCUUACUUUUUUAAGUUUAUACUCCCCACAGCCUAAAUAGUCUUUCAAUAGAUUUUCCAAGUGGUUAGCUGAGGCUGUUGGCAUAAACAGAGAUAUGUAAAUAUAUAGAAGAAAAUCACAAAUGACAGUUAAGCAUACAAAGAGUUAGGAGGUGGUUGCGAUUACAGAGCUGAAAGGAAAAUGAAAACCAGAAAUCAUUAAAAAGGACUAAAAAAUUAAGCACCAGGACUAGAUUUAGUCACGUUGCAAUAACCACCCUCUCUGUCGUGACUUUUUUUACACCUUUAGAAUCCGAGCUAAAAUAUGUAGUUUGCCUAAUGUUGCCAUCUCAUUUACUGGUGACGUUUAAUUCUGAAAUAUUUUCAACUAGUGUUUCUGCAUCACAGAUUUCUCUCCUUUUUCUCCAUACUCUAAAAAGACAACUAAAGAGCAAUCAAAAAGGUGUCUGACUUGGCCAUUCAGACAAUUGCACCCUUGUGGGAAUGCUGGAAUGAAUGGUACAGUGGACACCCCAGCACUAUUGACGUUAUAAACAUGUAAAUGAAACACAUUAGGGCAGACAAUCAAUUGUCUGUGAGCACUGCAAACCUGCACUCCCUUUCUAUGUGACAGGCACAAAAUAGUGUCUACCUUGGGAAGCCAUGGUCUUGGAAAAAAAGGACAAAGAGUUCUCUUUCACAGAGGAGAAAAUGCACCUUAAAAGCACUGGGAUAAUGCAGAUGCCAAAAACUGUGUGGCGAAGAAUUUCCUAUUUCUUGGAACGAAUGUGGAGCUGCUGCAAAAGAAGCAAGACUCUUCUUCCCACUUUAAGAGCAGGCACACAUUUUUUUAGGGAAUAUUUUCAGCCUGGCUUUAUAGCUUGUUUCUCAGCCUCCCAUAUAUUUUCUUUACCUUGGGCAGUUUACCAUAGAUAUUUAUUUAACAAUGAACUUUCAACUCUGUUUCCUCAUUUUUAAAGAAAUAUUGAUUCGUAUGGUCCUUUUUUUUUAUUUGACAGAAACUAGAAAUUCAAAAAAAAAAAAAAGUUUCCUUGUCAGUUAUGUGCAAUAGGGAAAAAUAUAUAUGCAAAAGCAGUCAGAGUAAUUAAAGAACAGCAUACACUAAAUCAGUCACUAAAACCCAAAUUCCCUCUUUUCCCCCCAAACUCGAAAAUAAAAUAAACAGAUUAAUCUUGACA